CUUACACAUACCCUACAUUGACCCAUGGCGGCUUCUCUGCACUCCUAGGGGGAGCCGUCGGCUGCCCCAGAGGACAGAUGAGGAAACCAAGGCUUGGGAGGAGAAGCGGCGCAUCCUGUGGCACACAGUAGGUGUGACACAAGACAGCUGACUCUGGCUUCCAGGCUCUUCCCACAGAUCUGCAGAGCUUCUGCCCUCCCAGCCCCACCUGCCAGGACUAGGUCCUCUCCGCCGGCCCUGCAGCUGCGUUCUCUGCCUCUGCUCUGUGGACUGAUGCCUCACACGAGCUCCCUGGCCUCUGGCUUCUGCCUCCCCAUGCCCUCUCUUGUGAACAGUCCAUCAGGGCUGGGAGGAAAGCAGGAUGAAACCAGUUCCCAGCGAAGCAGCAUUCGCCAGCAUUUACUUCAUACCUCCCUUUAAU
rnacentral:lncRNA from 10 species